CCUACGGGCGGCAGCAGUGAGGAAUAUUGGUCAAUGGACGAGAGUCUGAACCAGCCAAGUAGCGUGAAGGAUGACUGCCCUAUGGGUUGUAAACUUCUUUUUUAUGGGAAUAAAACGUUCCACGUGUGGGAUUUUGUAUGUACCAUAUGAAUAAGGAUCGGCGAACUCCGUGCCAGCAGCCGCGGUAAUACGGAGGAUCCGAGCGUUAUCCGGAUUUAUUGGGGUUAAAGGGAGCGUAGGUGGAUUGUUAAGUCAGUGUUGAAAGUUUUCGGCGCAACCGUAAGAGUGCAGUUGAAACUGGCAGUCUUGAGUACAGUAGAGGUGGGCGGAAUUCGUGGUGUAGCGGUGAAAUGCUUAGAUAUCACGAAGAACUCCGAUUGCGAAGGCAGUUCACUGGACUGCAACUGACACUGAGGCUCGAAAGUGUGGGUAGCAAACAGGAUUAGAUACCCCUGUAGUC
rnacentral:rRNA from 1 species